rnacentral:rRNA from 1 species
AGAGUUUGAUCAUGGCUCAGGAUGAACGCUAGCGGCAGGCCUAACACAUGCAAGUCGAACGGUAACAGGGAUUAGCCUAGCUAAUUUGCUGACGAGUGGCGCACGGGUGCGUAACGCGUAUACAAUCUGCCUUUAAGCGGGGAAUAGCCCAUGGAAACGUGGAUUAAUACCCCAUAGUCUAUAAACUUCACCUGGAGAUUAUAGUAAACAUUUAUGGCUUAAAGAUGAGUAUGCGUCCUAUUAGUUAGUUGGUAAGGUAACGGCUUACCAAGACCGCGAUAGGUAGGGGUCCUGAGAGGGAGAUCCCCCACACUGGUACUGAGACACGGACCAGACUCCUACGGGAGGCAGCAGUGAGGAAUAUUGGACAAUGGAGGCAACUCUGAUCCAGCCAUGCCGCGUGCAGGAAGACGGCCCUAUGGGUUGUAAACUGCUUUUAUACGGGAAGAACCACAUCUACGUGUAGAUGCUUGACGGUACCGUAUGAAUAAGGACCGGCUAACUCCGUGCCAGCAGCCGCGGUAAUACGGAGGGUCCAAGCGUUAUCCGGAAUCAUUGGGGUUUAAAGGGUCCGUAGGCGGGAUAAUAAGUCAGUGGUGAAAGUCUGCAGCUCAACUGUAGAAUUGAUUGCCCAUUGAAACUGUGGUUCUUGAAUUAUUAUGAAGGGGUUGGAAUGAGUAGGUGUAGCGGUGAAAAUGCAUAGAUAUUACUCAGAACACUAUUGCGAAGGCAGAUCACUAAUAAU